GGUGGUGGAGUUUGCCUCUCUCUCUCUCUGUUGAGAGAGAGGAGCUGNGAGAUAGCAGAGAGAGUUUGUGAGAGAUGUUAGAGAAAAUAAAAUAAAAAGAAAAGGAUGUUGUUUUUGUGUGUAUGUCUGUAUGUCCGACGGUGCCGAGUGGAAGGGCCGUCGCUCAACGGAUAAAAGUUACUCUAGGGAUAACAGGCUGAUCUUCCCCAAGAGUCCACAUCGACGGGAAGGUUUGGCACCUCGAUGUCGGCUC
rnacentral:ncRNA from 1 species